AGAGUAGAAUAUUGAUUACGUUUUAAGGGAGGCAGGGGUUUUAGGCAGGAUUUGAUUCAUGAUGUGUGUGUAGAUAUUAAUGUUAGGGGACAAUGUGAGAGUGUACGUUUUAGUAGGAAAACGUAUUAUCUGACCCACAUUCCGGAACAGAAGAGGGCGGUAAUGCACCAAUAAGCUGGAUGCCAACCGCCGUUAAACUGGAAAGAAGACGAAUAUGACAGCUUGCUGUGAGAGACAACGGGACAGAUGAGACACAUAUGUGUUUAUCUGCUGUAGAGUAACUGAUGAAGGAAUGCUACCAUCAAAGGAUUUGUAUCUUUUGUGGUGGAACAGGACCUGCAAAGAAAGGUGAAAAAGAGGGAAAACCUGAAACAAAAGAAUAAUGUAGUCGUGCUCAUGGGGUGCAGGCACACGAAAGUUUGGAGCAGACACAGCAGUCAGAUUGUCCUGCACGUGUUCUUCUUCUCUCGCUUCAAGGUUGUGUGGUUCAGAGAGCCGUCAUCAAGGUCUUCCUCAUCCUGUUGCUCAACGACAUCCCCAUUGAGAAGAGUGAGAUUGUGAAGUGCAGCGGCAGAACUGUAUCAGCUGUGUUCAGAUGGCGGGAGGAUGUUGGGUUCACCAUCUGUAAAUACUUGAUUGUUAGAACAAUACGUUUGAAUGAAGCUUUGUAUCAUGUGUUGUUGACUUGUGCAUGUAUGCAUUUAUUGUGAUGCUAACUUUUAUACAUUAUUUUAAUCAUUUAGACAUA